rnacentral:rRNA from 1 species
AUGGCGCCGUCGCCGUCCCCGCCGCCGCCGGCGAGCGGAGCGCAGUACGCGCACCAGUUCCUCAACACCGCCCUCUCCCAGCGCGGUCCCUCGGCGCUCCCCUACGCGGAGGACGUCAAGUGGCUCAUCCGCAACCACCUCGUCGCCCUCGCCGACGCCUUCCCCUCGCUCCACCCCAAGGCGGCCCUCUUCACCCACAACGACGGCCGCGCCGCGCACCUGCUCCAGGCCGACGGCACCGUCCCCAUCCACCACGCCGGGGCAACCUACAACCUGCCCGCCGUCAUCUGGCUGCCCGAGACCUACCCGCGCUCCCCGCCCCUCGUCUUCCUCUCCCCCACCCGCGACAUGCUCAUCAAGCCCCACCACCCGCUCGUCGACCGCUCCGGCCUCGUCGCCAACGCCCCCUACCUCCGCUCCUGGGUCUUCCCCUCCUCCAACCUCCUCGACCUCGUCAGAUCCCUCUCCCACCUCUUCGGCCUCGACCCGCCGCUCUUCACCAGAUCCGUCGCAGCCCCGUCUCCCACUCCUCCUCCCGCUCAUCCUGCUCCUCCUCCCGCCGCCGCCUCCCCCGCCAUGCGCCCCGAGGCCGUCUACGCUCCUGUCCCUCGCCCGUACAGGUUCCCGGCAUCGCCCCAGCUCGCCGCGCGCCAGCCGCCCACAGAGGACCCAGCUGAGGUCUUCAAGCGCAACGCCAUCUCCAAGCUUGUCGACACCGCCUACGCGGACGCUGCCGCCCUGCGCACCGCCCGCGAGGCAGAGGUCGACUCCCUCUUCGCCGUGCAGGCCGAGCUGCGUGGCCGAGGGGAGGCGGUGAACGAUGGGGUUCGCAGGAUCACGGAGGAGAAGGAGACGCUCGAGCGCCGGCUUCAGGACGUGGUGAUGGCCACUGACGUCAUUGAGGCCUGGGUUGCCGAGAACCGCAAGGGGGCUGCCGACGAUGCCACUGAGGCGGAGGGGGCCAUCCAGCCUGCUGACGUGCUGUCCAGGCAGAUGCUGGAGUGCACAGCUACUGAUUUGGCACUCGAGGACACCAUCUACGCGCUUGACAAAGCUGUCCAGGAAGGAUCGGUGCCCUUCGACGGCUACCUCAGGAGCGUGCGCGCACUUGCACGGGAGCAGUUCUUCCAGCGUGUCCUCUGCACCAAGGUUAACAAUGCGCAGCAGCAGGCACAGGUUGCUAGGAUGGCAGCACGGGCACCACAGUACGCCUCCUAG